GUAUAAUACCCGAUAGGUCUCGAUUGCUGGAAUGCAUCGAGAUUUAAAGCUCCGGCGCCUAAGGAUGGGUCUGCGGCCUAUCAGGUAGUAGUGGGUGUAGCGUACCUACUAGCCUACGACGGGUACGGGUUGUGAGAGCAAGAGCCCGGAGAUGGAUUCUGAGACACGAAUCCAGGCCCUACGGGGUGCAGCAGGCGCGAAAACUUUACAAUGCUGGCAACAGCGAUAAGGGAACCUCGAGUGCCAGGUUACAAAUCUGGCUGUCGAGAUGCCUAAAAAGCAUUUCAUAGCAAGGGCCGGGCAAGACCGGUGCCAGCCGCCGCGGUAACACCGGCGGCUCGAGUGGUAACCGUUAUUAUUGGGUCUAAAGGGUCUGUAGCCGGCCGGAUAAGUCUCUUGAGAAAUCUGGCAGCUUAACUGUCAGGCUUUCAGGAGAUACUGUCUGGCUCGAGGCCGGGAGAGGUGAGAGGUACUUCAGGGGUAGGGGUGAAAUCUUGUAAUCCUUGAAGGACCACCAGUGGCGAAGGCGUCUCACCAGAACGGACCUGACGGCAAGGGACGAAAGCUAGGGGCACGAACCGGAUUAGAUACCCGGGUAGUCCUAGCCGUAAACGAUACUCGCUAGGUGUCGGCCACGGUGCGACCGUUGUCGGUGCCGUAGGGAAGCCGUGAAGCGAGCCACCUGGGAAGUACGGCCGCAAGGCUGAAACUUAAAGGAAUUGGCGGGGGAGCACCACAACGGGUGGAGCUUGCGGUUUAA
rnacentral:rRNA from 1 species